ACUAGAAGAAUAAAAAAUUAGAUUUUUUCUCCUAAUUUUCAGCCUUUUCCUCCUGAAAAAAUUUAAAUCCAACUAAAAAUGCUAAAAAUCAAGAGGAAAAAUCUGAUUUGUUAUUCUUCUAUU
rfam:Gossypium raimondii Chr03_contig_79, whole genome shotgun sequence.